GCCGAAAUAGCUCACUUGGGAGAGCGUUAGACUGAAGAUCUAAAUGUCCCUGGUUCAAGCCAGGAUUUUGGCA
rnacentral:tRNA from 1 species